rnacentral:rRNA from 1 species
AACGUAGGAGACAAACGUUGUCCGGAAUCAUUGGGCGUAAAGAGCGUGUAGGCGGCCAGAUAAGUCCGCUGUGAAAUCUCGAGGCUCAACUUCGAGCUGUCGGUGGAAACUGUCUGGCUAGAGUCCGGAAGAGGAGAAUGGAAUUCCUGGUGUAGCGGUGAAAUGCGCAGAUAUCAGGAGGAACACCGGUGGCGAAGGCGGGUCUCUGGGCCGAUAUUGACGCUGAGGAGCGAAAGCGUGGGGAGCGAACAGG